GAUGAACGCUGGCGGCGUGCAUAACACAUUCAAGUCGAACGGAGUUAGAUUUAUUAAUUCUUCGGAAAGCGUAGAUUUAACUUAGUGGCGGACGGGUGAGUAACGCGUGAGCAACCUGCCUCUGUAUGGGGGAUAACGUUUGGAAACGGACGCUAAAUACCUCAUGACACAACGGAACCGCAUGAUUCUGUUGUCAAAGAUUUAUUGUACAGAGAUGGGCUCGCGUCUGAUUAGGUAGUUGGUGAGGUAACGGCUCACCAAGCCGACGAUCAGUAGCCGGACUGAGAGGUUGAACGGCCACAUUGGAACUGAGAUACGGUCCAGACUCCUACGGGAGCAGCAGUGGGGAAUAUUGGGCAAUGGGCGCAAGCCUGACCCAGCAAUGCCGCGUGAAGGAUGAAGGUUUUCGGAUUGUAAACUUCUUUUAAGAGGGACGAUAAUGACGGUA
rnacentral:rRNA from 1 species